rnacentral:SRP_RNA from 1 species
GCCGAGCUCAGUUGCGCGAGCUUGUAACCCGAGUGGGGGCAUUAAAGUGAUGAGGACGUUGCCAUAGCGCUGCGGGCUUGGUUUAGUUGUGCUAUUGCUGGCCCGCCCGUUUCAAAUUGCGUAGUGAAUUGCUGGGGCCUCAUUGUCCAUAAUGUGGCAGGCAAAGAGUGAGACUGGCUUCACAAAGCAGCGACAACUGACUGCUUCCAACGGUGGAAGGAUAACGGGCUGCUGCACUACUUAGCCGCUUGGGCCUCGCAGCCUACUUCAACGAACCAUCAUUUUU